rnacentral:tRNA from 1 species
GAGGAUGGAGCGCAGUGGUAGAGUGUGUGUUUGGCAUGCACGAGGUCCUGGGUUCAAUCUCCAGUACCUCCA